rnacentral:rRNA from 1 species
AUUGAACGCUGGCGGCAGGCCUAACACAUGCAAGUCGAGCGAGCGGCGGACGGGUGAGUAAUGUAUGGGGACUGCCCGAUAGAGGGGGAUAACUACUGGAAACGGUGGCUAAUACCGCAUAAUAUCGGUUAACCCAUAUGGGAUUAGCUAGUCGGUGGGGUAAAGGCUCACCUAGGCGACGAUCUCUAGCUGGACUGAGAGGGUGAUCAGCCACACUGGGACUGAGACACGGCCCAGACUCCUACGGAGGCAGCAGUAGGGAAUAUUGCACAAUGGGCGCAAGCCUGAUCCAGCCAUGCCGCGUGUAUGAAGAAGGCCUUAGGGUUGUAAAGUACUGUCGGCGGGGAGGCGUUACCCGAAGAAGAAGCACCGGCUAACUCCGUGCCAGCCGCCGCGGUAAUAC